AGGACCUGGAAUUGGGAAGAUUCAUACAGACACUGAAUCAUCCAAGAAGCUUCUUUUUGUCUGCAUCCCUCAAAUCAGAGCAAAAGGGAGACCGUUAGAGAGAACAGCAGGAAAUGGGUGGAAGGAAGAAAGAGAGGAGGGAAGUAUUUCUUCUGCUUUCUUCAUUGUGU
rnacentral:lncRNA from 1 species